rnacentral:rRNA from 1 species
GUAGGGAAUAUUGGGCAAUGGAUGCAAGUCUGACCCAGCCAUGCCGCGUGCAGGAAGAAUGCGCUACGCGUUGUAAACUGCUUUUAACCGGGAAGAAACCCCAGGACGUGUCCUGGGUUGACGGUACCGGAGGAAUAAGCACCGGCUAACUUCGUGCCAGCAGCCGCGGUAAUACGAAGGGUGCAAGCGUUAUCCGGAUUCAUUGGGUUUAAAGGGUGCGUAGGCGGAGCGUUAAGUCAGUGGUGAAAUCCUGCAGCUUAACUGUAGACUUGCCAUUGAUACUGGCGCUCUUGAGUGCGCUUGAAGUGGGCGGAAUGUGCCGUGUAGCGGUGAAAUGCUUAGAUAUGGCACAGAACACCAAUUGCGAAGGCAGCUCACUAAGGCGAUACUGACGCUGAGGCACGAAAGCGUGGGGAUCGAACAGGAUUAGAAACCCUUGUAGUCC